AGCUUUUGAAUCCUGACUCUCAUUUCCUCCUUCUGUUCCUUUGAGCAAGUCGUCUAAUCUCUCCAGGCAUCGAGCUUUCUCAUCUAUAAAAUGAGGGAUUGAGCCAGAUUCAGCCCUGAAUGUUGGGAAUUCUCCAGGCCUUCUAUCUCCACGAAUCUGUCAGCCCCCCCCUCCUAAGGCAUCAGCUCCACCUUCCAAAGUACCCAGCUGCUUAUCUGAGAAAGGAAGAACAAAUUCCUGUGCUAAAGUUGGGGCUGAAGGCCCCAUUCUCCUCCCUCCCUCUCACUCACACUCCUGCUCCUCCCAGGGGAGAAUGGACUCCUGGCCCUGGGGGAAGGUAGAGGAGAUCAGUGACCCAGUGAGUGGCUGCUGGAGGUGGUAGAGGUGCCAUUGGAAGUCAGCUAACGGUCUUCCUCAUCCUGUUUGGAGGCAGAUCCUUGACAAGCUUCCCUCCCCCAGAUCCCUGGACUCCCUGUCAGCUGAGGAGAGGGAGAGGUUCUCCACCUUAUUGACGUCCUUCUUAAAAUGGAAUCCCCAGAACUGCAUCAGAAGAGGUCUAAGUAAUUCAAGAAAUGAUAAGCAAGACGAUUGAGGAAAAAGCUGGAAAGAUCUGUGGGAACUGAUGCAGAGUGAAAUAAGCAGAACUGAGAGAACAUCGUACACGUAACUGCAAUAUCGGACAUUGAUUGUCUGCGAAAACUUGGCUAUUCUCAACAAUUGCACUGAUCUGAGACAAUCCUGAAAGACUUAUGACGGAGAAUGCUCUCCACCUCCAGAGGAAGAACUGUUGGAGUCGUCUUUCACAUUAGUAUAUUUUAUGGCUUUAUUUGGGGGGUUUGGCUAUGUAUGGGUGUGCUCUUACAACAAUGACCGACAUGGAAGUGUGCUUUGCAUGACAAUAAAAAGGAACGACUUUUUAAAAAUCAAUUUUUAAAAAUGUGUUUCCCAUCAGUUUAGAAGAGACUUGACUUUUCUGGGAUAUUAUAGAGGGAAAUCACACUUCAGAUCACACAAGUUAGACUGCUGGGCUGUUGACAUUCUAACUCAGCAUUCUAACUGUGUGAUUCUAAUUCUCUGCCUAACCCAGACAUCCCUUCUGAACAUCAUAGAUGCUGAGGUGGAGACGGAAACAGAAGAGAAUGGGAGACAAGGAGGGAAAGCAGUUGGCACAGAGCUAACUACUCCCUGCUUCUAGGGGCUCUUGCUCAGCCAGCCCCCAGGGCAUGCCCACCUCCAAAUUGGGUCUUCCGGUGUCAAUGGAUUUGGAAAGGGAAAAGUUUCUCCUCUUCCUCCGGUUGUAAUAUUGUGGGUGGUCACCAGGUGGCAGUUCAGGGGUAUAUUGUUCUCCAUACAUUUGUUAAGAAUUUUUUUUUUAACUUAAAACUGUUUAUUUUUAGUUCUAAAUUCUUCCCCUCCCUUCCUCCUCUCUCACUGGUAAGACAAGAAAUAGAAUAGGAAGUCAUCCCAAACCCAUUUCCACCUCAAUAGACUAAUGGUUUUGAAGAACUGAAUCCCACAUUCCAAUCACACAGUGGCAGAAGUAAUAAAGGUUCAUCCAUCGGAUCAUAGCAUUAGAAAUGGAAAAGACCUCAGAGCUCGUACAGAUCCUUCAUUUCCGAAUGAGGAACUGAGAUUCAGGGAUAUUAGAUGACAUCAGGCAAUGUCACAACAUGUCAUGUGUAUACUAUGUCACAACAUGUCAUGCCAUGUCACACACCUGCCUUGCAAUGCAGCAGGUGCCCACCAUGUCACGUGCCAUGUCUUGCAUUGUGAUGUGACAGCAGGAAAAUGUCUUGGCACAUCACGUGUUAUGUCUUGUCAAAUGUGUGCUCUGAAAAAUCAUGCCCUGACACUGCUGUCCUGCACUGAUUGCCCGGUGUGUUGAGUCCCAUGUCCCUUGUGUGUCAUGCCACACAUGUCUGCAUUUCUCCAUUAUGUAUGUGCCACUAUGGCACAUCAGCAUGUAUCCUCUUUGUACUAUUUUGUAGACCAGUCUUCAAUAAAUGACUCGCUGGGAUUUUUUUCCCUUGAAUUUUGUGAUCCAGACUUAGUUCAGUAUUUAUUAUUUUCUAGAUCUGUGCAAAGGAGUGCUUUGUUACUGUUCAGUUAUUUUCAGCUAGGUCUAACUCUUCAUGAUCCCACUGGGAUUUCUUUGAUAAAGAUCCUGGAGUGGUUUGCCAUUGUUUUUUCAGCUCAUUUUAUAUAUGAGGAAACUGAGGCAAACAGGAUUAAAUGACUUGCCCAGAGUCACACAGCUAGUAAGUGUCUGAAGUCAGAUUUGAACUCAGAUGUUAAAGACUUCCUGACUUUAGGCUUGGUGCCUAUUACACUUAUAUGUAGAAUUUAUCUGUAUCUCUUCCAGCUAUUUUCUCAUCCUGACUCUCAAUAUAAUUUCUAAUUGGUUCUAAUUAAGCAAUGCUAAAGUUAGAGAGAAGUAACUUGACAGAGAAGAGAUUGAACCAUUAGGAGCACUGCUCAGGGAACCUCAGAAUAGAUGGGCUACAGAUAGGGCUAUGCUGGAGCCAGCUCAAACUCUCUUGAAAGCUGAUUAUUAAAUUUUUAGUGGAAGCAUUUGCAUCUUGAAAAUCAGCAAACUACAAAUGAAGACAAGAUUUAUUGUUUUGUUGAAUGUCUAUACUUACUCAAAAAUGUUAAUACUGCCGAUUAAACUUAAAAGUGAGUUAAACCUUGGCCAGCACACAGCUAAGAUGAAAGAUAAGUAUAGAUUAUAGAUGACCUCAUACGUAUCCUGAGCCCUCUAUCUUGUGCCCAAUCCCCCCAUCUCUCUGGUACCCCUGCUCCUCUUUGUAUGUCUCUAUAGCCUGCCAUCUCUUCCCAUUAUGGAAACAGCUGGCUUUUUUUCUCCUUUUCAUGCAGAAUGGUUGAAUGGGGUCUCUCCAGCCUGUGUCAUCUCACCAUCACCAAAUGGACUCUGGGCUUCGAGCCUUUUUUGUCAUGUUAUGUCAGGCUCUAUGCCCCUCUGGACCUGCACCAGCCCAUUCACUUCUCCUCUGAGACUUUCCAUCAAUAUAUUCCUCCCGUCUAGGUCAGAGGCUUUCCAGUUUGCAGUAAAUCUACCACAGGAUUGAUCUAAGCUUCCCAAAGCACUUUUCCAAGGGGCUGGUGUUCUGUUCUUGAGAACAGGCACCUAAAAACAAGGAUAUGGCCAGUCUGCUUCAAGUGAAGAAAGCUGUGGCUCAACCAUGUGCGUGGCUCUUAUAGUAAAUACUACCACACUUCCACUAGUCAUCAAGCAUAAUGUUCAAGACACACACGUGUGCAGUUGCAAAGAGGAAUUGCUUCCAGGAAGGUUCGACCUUGAACACUUUGGAAAAAGUUCCAAACUGCUCUCAUUUGACCCAUGAACAUGAAAGAAGGAAAUCACACUUUGAACCCAGAUUCAAGAUUCCAGAACCUAGAAACCACAGAAAAUCCAGCAAAAGAAAGAAUGGUAGACAAAACCAUGCCAUCUAGAGAGGAAAUGGUACCAGAGAAUGAUGGCCAUGAAAGCAGGAUACACGAAUAGCAGCAAUGAAAGACAAUGAAGGGCAGAUGUGGAUAGAAUGGCGCCAUGCUGAUUGGAUGUGAAUAGAGAGAAUGUGGUUUUACAGAGCUAGCUCUGGGGAAAGAAACGAGGUAAUAAUAAUCAUUCAUGUUUAUAGUGCUUAGUAUAUGUCAAACACGGUGCUUUUUAUUGUUAUUCCAUCAUUUUAGUUGUGUCUGACUCUCCAUAAUCUCAUUUGGGGUUUUCUUUUCAAAGACACUAGAGUGGUUUGCCAUUUCUUUCUCCACCUAUUUUUACAGAUGAGGAAAGUGAGGCAAACAGGGCUAAGUGACUUUCCCAGGGUUGCAUAGCUAUUAAGUGUCUGAGGUCAUAUUUGAACUCAAGUCUUCCUGACUCGCUCUAUCCACUGCACCACCUCGCUGCCCCUAUGGAUUGGGCAUCUUUUUUUUUCCUUAAUUUUAAGUAGGAUUGGGUAACUUGAUUGGUAAGUCAAUCCACCUUUGCCCUGGAACGUAAGUGAUAGCUAAGAAGAUCUAGAAUGAAUAAUCUAAGAAGACUUUUUUAGUUAUCUUUAUAAACAGUGGUAAUCACUGGGCAGUUAGAAUAGGAAUAGAGAGAAUAGAAUUAGGAGGAAUCAACUAAGGAAAAAGCAUCUCCAAAGAAGGGAUAGAGAGUGAGAGCUAACCCUAAGGUAUUUUAUUAGAAGGCUGUUGGGGUUGGAUAAAGAGAUAAAGAGAAGAAAAUUAUAGAGCCUUGGGAGGAGUUUGCAUGCCAGGAAGCCCAUCCUGGCAAACUAGGUGCCCAUAGAAGAGGUUGAAUAACCCUGAUUGCUACCCCAUCCCUUUGAGGCUGCUGCUUUCGCAUCUGCCUCUCAUGGAUCCUAGCCAGCUCCCUAGAGCCAGCCUCUCCUGCUUCUGGAAGCAUUUCUGAUAUGUGAUUUCAAGUUUGUGCUCUCAGGAUUUGCAAAACAUUUUCUGCCAGAUUGUACAUUUUUUAAGCUACUUGCCAAUACCAUAAUAUUGCUAUCACAUGACCCGUCCAAAUUUCAAUUGGUUCUUUCCCAGAGAAGCACAGAUUCUUUCCCAAGAAGAUUCCUGGCUUAGGCCUAUGAUAUCCUUGUGACACUGGAGACCUAGACUCAGCAUCUUUUGGAGGGAAGUAUUUUUUCCUUACUUCAACAAACCUCUCAGUUUUUCCAGGGGCAAGUCUUCUUUACCUGUAAAGGCUUCCGAAUUUUUCAUCCAUUCUUUCUUCUCAGAAUGAGGGCUGGGUGAUCAACUGCCAGGUCCUAUCACCUACUGUCACCCUAUCAGCAAUUUUUAGUAAUUAACAAUUUUAGUCAUUAAUUAAGUAAUAAAUUUAGUAAUGUCAUGAUUAACUGUAUUUGGCAAUGUGUGCAAAAAAAAAGUGAAGGGGGGGGGGGGUGUCUCCCAGUGUGAACCUGCUAUUGAUCACCAUACAUUAUCCAAACCUUUUACAACUCUUUUAGAUGCUUUUAAAAGUCCUUAUUUUUGUGCUCAGGGUCUGCUCCUAGAAUUGAGGGAUGUUUAGAAAAUAUUAUACCUAUUGCUUCAUAAAACUUCCCCCAGAUUUCAGUCAUUUCAUUCAAGCAUUACUUAAAAUUGUAUUCAGAAAACCAAUCAUGCAAAAUCAAACUCCAUUUAUGCAGGAAUUAUUGGCAAAACUUUUAGACAAAUUUUUCAUAACAUACAUAAGAACUAUACUACAGUUCUUUUCCUCUGGCAUGAUUCUUCAUCUCUCAUCUUUGUGCCUUUGCCCAGGCUGUAUCCCAUGCCUGCUUCACCUUUGCCUUGCAGAAUCCCUGGUUUCCCAGGGAAAUUCAGCAUUUGUGCUGCUUUAUUCUGGAGGCCUUUCCUGAUCCCUUCAACAGCUAGAAGUGCUGCCACUAAGGAUACUUUGUACAUGUUCUCUCUCCAAUUAGAGUGAAAAGCCCUUGAGGGCAGAGGAUUUCAUUUCUGUCUUUUAUCUCCUCAGUGCCUCAAACACAGUAGGUGCUGUCAUAAAAUGAUUGAGUGACUUGAUGGAAAUGUAUAAGACAAUUACUGGAAAACAUACAUUAGCAAGAAGAUAUGAAUAGGCCAUCAACACUGGUUGAUGAUGAUAGUUCCACAUUGAAAUGAGCAACAAUUUAAAGCCAAUAGAAGUCAUAAACACUGUAUUUUAAUGCUAUAAAAUAUAGUAGGUCUCAACAUCUCAUUGGCUAGUCACCAUUUAGAGAUGUCUUGGGAUGUCAUGGAAAGGACAGAAGAAUAAGCUUCUAAAAUUGUAUUUAAUAAUUCAAAAAAGUUCUGGUCUUUGCCUUUAAUCACUGAAAGAGACCAUUGACCUAUUAAUGACUAACCUGAGCAAUAAAUUGAUUUUCUUACCCAGAAAAAAAAAAGAAAUGCAUUAAGCCAAUCAUGAAAGAGGAAAUACCCGGAGAAAAACAAAAAUAAGUGGAGCAUCCUUUUUGAACCUGACCAUGACCCUACUUCCCUCCCCCCCAAUUCAGAUAUAGGUUGCUUUCCCAGGAAGGUAGUUAAUCCCAACUUCCAAGUAUUCUGUGAUUGCCUACUCCUAAAACUAAAACUAUAGCUCACCAACUCAUACUGGUACGUUUACUUUUAACAAUCAGGCUGGGGACAUAUUGGCUUAAAGCAAAAACAUUUCUUCAGAUGAAAAAAUAAAAAUAAUAAUUACAGUGUUCUCCCAUAAAACUAGAACACAUUCUCCACAAAUACACUGAGCAACAGAGGUGUUAGAAGUAAGUCUAAUGCCAGCACCCUGUUAGUUCAGGUCUGAUGCUGGUGCAAUCUGAGGUACUCAAAGGUCAUUUUUACAGUUAACAAAAGGUUUACUUUAUCCUAACAAAACAAGAAUAUACAACUAGGGUAACUAGGGCACUUAAUUUCUCCAGAUAUAGUCUUCCUUGUCUCCCUAUGGAAGUUUGUCUGGUCAGCAGGGUAAAGUAUAGCUUCUCUUGUGGUCUUCAAAUUUCUAACAAGUGAAAGAGGACUCAAUUCUACAUAGGUGGGAUUUUUUAAAAUUAAAAUUUAAUUUUUUCUGGGUUAUACAUGUAUUAUCACACAAAACCUAUUUCCAUAUUAUUCAUUUUUGUAAGAGAAUAAUCUUAUAAAACCAAAACCCCCAAACAUAUACCCAGAUAAACAUGUGAUAAAACAUUUGCUUUCAACUGCAUUCUUACUCCAACAUCUUUCUCUAGGAGUGGAUAGCAUUCUUUUCACAAGUCCCUCAGAAUUGUCCUGGAUCAUUGCAUUGCUGUUAAUAACAAAGUCUAUCACUUUUGAUCUUCCAUCAAUGUUUCAGUUACUGUGUAUAAUGAUCUUCUGAUUCUUCGUAUUUCACUCUGCAUCAGUUCGUGUAGAUAUUUCCAGCUCUUUCUGAAAUCAUCCUUUUCAUCAUUCCAUAUAGCACAAUUGUAUAUCAUCGCCAUCAUAUACCACAAUUUGUUCAGUCAUUUCCCAAUUGAGAGACAUCCCAUUAAUUUCCAAUUCUUUGCCACCACAAAAAGAGCUGCUAUAAAUAUUUUUGAACAAACAGAUCCUUUCCCAUUUUUCUAGUUGGGAUUUUUUAUGCCCUUAAGUGACCAGAAACCUGAAUGGAGGGAGGCAGGAACCAGUGAAGUCCCAAGGACAGCUCUGUUAUCUUUUAGGGAAAACUAAUCCUUGUUGGGGGCAAAUGGGAACUCUACUCCUAUCCCAAAUGGAAAGAAUGGGCAUACUUACUCAUAGAAUACUGUGGUUGAGAGGCACAUACUUAAGGCACGCCUAUGGCCAAGGCAAUUCAUACCAGAAAGGCCCUGACAUCCUUUCUCUUCUUACAGUGUUCUCAUUCUUCUCCCCUUGGUCUCACUGUCUCUGUUGGUAAAGUCACUCAUUUGGACUCCCUGAGACUUUUCCUCCCUGCUUUCAAUUCCCAAUGGCCAACGCUAACUCCCUCUCAACUCAGUAAACUCUUAUCUUACACCUUGACUGACUGGGCCUGCUCUCUUGUUGGGUCCAGUGACCCCUAUUGGGAAAUCAAUUUCAGUGCAAGAUGUCAGAGUUGAUGAGGGGUUGGGGGAGGAAGAAAUCCUUGUCUCCAUUAAGAAACAAGUAAUGAUUCUCUCCCAAGGGAUUAAUUUUUCUUCCAUGGCUGUUUCCCUUUUCUAUUCCUCAGAAAUCUGCUUUGUCUCCUGCUUUGACUGAUUCCCUAGAGACUGUGUCUGGCUUUUUAAAGGCUACCAAGGUCACAACCCUGCCUUCAUCCAAUCAAUAGCUAACUUAACUGCUCUCCAAUUCUGUCCAAUUUAAUCUUGGCUUCUUCUUAGCUCAGUAAGGGGAUAGCAAAGUGUAAACCCUUAUUUAAAAGUUCAAAGACCUCAUUGUCUGUCAUCUCCACAUUAUAUUCCAUAGUUUCAUCAUUUAUGUUGCAGGGAAGGAGAAAUCAAUUGACUGUCAUUCUCCUGAUCAACUUCUCCCUACUACUUAAUUUUUUGGGGGAAAUGUAAUAUUAUUAUUAUUUUUUAAAUCUGGAUCAGAAGUAAUGAUUUUAGUGAAUUAUCACAAAAAAUUUUGAAAAAAAAAGGAAAUGGGGAAAAAAUCCCCCCAAAUAGCAACACUACCCCAUCCCCAAAAUCUUGAAGUAAAAUUCAACUCGAAAUUUAAAAUAAUUUUCAAACAUUUUCAGAAUGAGUAUCCUCAGUUGUCUUCUGUGGUCACUGAGACAAACCUAUUCAAAAGGAAAACAAAGCUAGUAGGAAAAGAAAUGGAUAUAGCCCCAAAUAUCCCAAAUGAGAAACCUGACAUGUGAUAGGUGGUAGGAGCUGAUUCUACCCUUCAUGGCUACUGAUGUUGCAGUGCUUUCCUAUACUGGAAUGGAAUAGCCAUUUCCAUUCCUUCUACAAUCAACAGAAAAUCUGUAGGCUGUGCCACCUUAUGAAUUCACCAGUAAGGGAGUGCAGUAUAUCAUUUGGCCACUAUGUGGCACUCACCUCAAGCUACCAACCAAGCCAUCUUUUUCAGGGAAUAUCUAGUGCUGCUAUGAUGGUUUCCCAAAGGUCAGAGCAUCUCUACCCUCACCACAAGCUGCUCAGCCUAAACUCCCAACCCCAGAGGGCUCAUGGGACAAUGCUGACCAAGUUCAAAAUUUAUUUAGCGAUAUGGAAACAAGAACAUGAAGAAUUUGCUGUGAAAUUAUAGAAAUCUUGAUGUGGUUUUUAGCCUCCAAAUCCACAACUGGGAAAUCUUGUGUGCUCAAUUUAGAGAACUGACUUUUUGGUGGCCGUACCCUUUAUUUAUGCAUGGUAAAGUAACUGGAGAGAAGAUGUAACCCAGCAAAAGUAUCAAGCAACUGCUUCAUCCUAUUAUAUUUCCUACCGAUCUUCUGUCCUGCUCUCACUGCUCCCUGACAGGAGGAGAAGAGAUGGGCACCAGGAAAAGGACUGUGGAGUUGCAUGACCCAAAGCCAACCCCAAAGGCUUCGACAACCAUCACAGAAGAUGGGAAGUCUGGGAUAAGUCUCCUGGCUGGGGCUCCCCAACCACUAAGGCUAUGUGCUCUGCCUCCUGGUCCCAUCCUCCUGUUCCAGCAUUGCCCUCUGGUUGCCGUGAUCCCAUCUCUGCUCCAGGUCUCCAUUUUUGCCACUAAAACUAUCAGAAUUUAUCCUGGCUAUAUAUAGCAGUUAGCCAACACCUGUCCUAGCGAUGGUCAAGAAAGAAUGUUGGCUUGAAGGUUUCCUCAAGGAAAAAGAGAAGAAACUUGGAAGCUGGAUAAACAUAUAUCUGCAUAUAAUGCUUACCUUUUCCACUGUCCUGUGGAUUAAUGCCUGCUACACAAGAAAGUUCAAACACUUUUGGUUGGCAUUUAAGGCCUUUCACCAUCUUUUCUGAUUUAAUGUAUCACUGGUCUCCUCCCCAUGUUUAACAAUUCAGUCGAGCCAGUCUGCUCAUCAUCCCAUCUCCAUGUCUUGGCUCAUGUUGGUUGCUGUGUUUGGGGUGCCUCAUCACCCCAAAAGCCUACUGAAAUCCUAACUUUCUUGACAGCUCAGUUCAGAUGCCACUUUCUCCAUGAAGCCAUCCCUGAUUCCCUUAGAAUUAAUGAUACUAGGCAGCUAGAUGGGCCAGGAGCCAGGAAGACUUGAUUCCGAUGUGGCAUCAGACAUUUACUCACUUUGUGAUCAUGUGCAAGUCACUUAACCUCUGUCUGAUUCUCUUUCCUCAAAAAAAAAAAAAGUAAAAUGGGAACAAUAAUAGCACUUACUUUCCAGGAUGGCUGUAAAGAUCAAAUGAAAUAAUAUUUGUAAAGAAUUUAGCACAGUACCUGAUAGGCAGUUGCUUAAGAAAAGCUUCCUUCUUUUUUCUUUAUUUUAUUUUAAUAACAAAUUUCCACAUAAGUUUUCCAAAGUUAUAUGAUUCAGAUUGUCUCCCGCUCACCUCAAGGAGUUGACAAGUAAUUCAAUUUGGGUUAUACAUGUAUUAUCAAGCAAAACACAUAAAUGUUUCCUUCUGGGGUGGUUUUUGAAAGCCAGACCUAGAGACAGGAGGUCCUGGGUUCAAACUUGACCUCAGAUACUUCCUAGCUAUGUGACCCUAGGGAAGUCACUUAAGCCUGAUUGCCUAGCCCUUUUCUUUUGCCUGGGGUAUCUUCUUCUGACUACUUAGUAUUGAUUCUAAGAUGGAAGGUAAGGGUUUUUAAUUUUUUUGAAAAAUCCUUCCUUCCUUCCUUCCUUUCUUCCUUCCUUCUAAGUUGUCACAAAACCUGAUUUUCCAGUUUUGUGUGGACUUAUUCUUCAUACUGCAUUGCAGAUCCUAAGGGUGAGUUUGUGUCUUAUAUCAUCUUUUUUUCUUCUUCUCUAGCACCCUGUAGAGUGCCCUGUACAGGGCUCAGCUCUGUGUAAUAGAUGCUUUAAUAAAUGUUUGUUAAAAUUGAAGUUGACCUCUAAAAGAUCUGUCAGGAGUGAUUUCCUCUUAUAGAAACCACAUUGCCAUUCCCCUACUAAAUGAUGUUUGUUCAAAUGUUCGGGGAUUUUCUUUAUGAUCAAAUCAUAGAACCACAGAUUUUGAGGGCUUUGUGGA